rnacentral:rRNA from 1 species
GACGAACGCUGGCGGCGUGCUUAACACAUGCCAGUCGAACGGAAAGGCCCUGCUUUUGUGGGGUGCUCGAGUGGCGAACGGGUGAGUAACACGUGAGUAACCUGCCCUUGACUUUGGGAUAACUUCAGGAAACUGGGGCUAAUACCGGAUAGGAGCUCCUGCUGCAUGGUGGGGGUUGGAAAGUUUCGGCGGUUGGGGAUGGACUCGCGGCUUAUCAGCUUGUUGGUGGGGUAGUGGCUUACCAAGGCUUUGACGGGUAGCCGGCCUGAGAGGGUGACCGGCCACAGUGGGACUGAGGUGGCACCAGGACUGAUUCGUCAGGCAGCAGUGGGAGAUAUUCCGCGCUGGGCGGAGGCAGUGAGCAGCGACGUCGGGUGGGAGAUGACGGCUUUCAGGGUGGAACCCGCAUGCGCGUGUAACGAACAGUGAGUGACGGUAACGAGUAAGGAAGCCACGGCUAACUACGUG